GAUAUUGUCUGAGGUUAUGAGCCACGCAGACAGAUAAAGAGAGAGACCCCACAGAGAUACACUGUAACCACCAGUUCCUGGAAUCCCAGACGUGAUGACACAGGGAGGGAUCAAGGAGGGGUGCGUCACUUGAGUGGGUUGAGUCAAUGACGUGAUCUUCGUGUCCGGGUUGGAGCCCCCCCUUGGGUUGUGCCGUGGCGGAGAUCUUUGUGGGCUAUACUCGGCUUUGUCUCAGGAUGAGGACCUAAGCCCUAGGACCAUGCCUCAGGACUACCUGACAUGAUGACUCCUUGCUGUCCCCAGUCCACCUGGCCGUGCUGCUGCUCCAGUUGCAACUGUUCUGCCUGUGAUUAUUAUUAUUUGACCAUGCUGGUCAUUCAUGAACAUUUGAACAUCUUGGCCAUGUUCUGUUAUAAUCUCCACCCGGCACAGUCAGAAGAGGACUGGCCACCCCAUCAUAGCCUGGUUCCUCUCUAGGUUUCUUCCUAGGUUUUUGGCCUUUCUAGGGAGUUUUUCCUAGCCACCGUGCUUCUACACCUGCAUUGCUUGCUGUUUGGGGUUUUAGGCCGGGUUUCACUUUGAGAUAUCAGCUGAUGUACGAAGGGCUAUAUAAAUACAUUUGAUUUGAUUAGUCACUACUGCUAGUCCAAUUAUACAGUGAUAAACAUACCAAAACAUGCUCAAGUCAAUUGUUCUGUAUUAUCUAUUGAGCCAUAUAUUGAUGCGCUUUAACAUUAUAAUUCUGAUAACAUGGUAAAGCAAAACCCCUACUAUCAACCCAGAUGUUAACAACCCAAAUGUAUAAAUGGCAGUCUUCAGUGCUCCAUGUUGAGUCCAUCACUCAAAUUCACUCACAUUCACUCAAACUCAAGACCCGCAACUUAGCACACACCAACACAGUUAGAAUGUACAAACAGGGGACCAUAUAUAGACAGUUUGUACUACAUAUUACCAGUAUGAAGUUUUCUCAUUACAGCCCCCAUUUAUCCCUGUUGCGAGUGGCAUGUUAAUGACAGACCGGUAUAUCAAUGCAUUCUUGGUCUAAAUUACUAUAAAUUUCAUAGUGUGCAGACCUCCACAAUCAACCUGAUACCCCAAAUAAACAAUUACGGACACGGUCGACCACCACCCCUCCCUCUAAA